rnacentral:rRNA from 1 species
GACGAACGCUGGCGGCGUGCUUAACACAUGCAAGUCGAGCGGUAAGGCUCCUUCGGGAGUACACGAGCGGCGAACGGGUGAGUAACACGUGAGUAAUCUGCCCUUCACUUCGGGAUAACCGCCGGAAACGGUGGCUAAUACCGAAUACGACGCGCUCUCGCAUGAGAUGCGCGUGGAAAGUCUUAUCGGUGAAGGAUGUGCUCGCGGCCUAUCAGCUUGUUGGGAGGUAACGGCUCACCAAGGCUUCGACGGGUAGCCGGCCUGAGAGGGUGACCGGCCACACUGGGACUGAGACACGGCCCAGACUCCUAGUGGGAGC